CCACAGGGAUAACUGGCUUGUGGCAGCCA
rnacentral:ncRNA from 3 species